rnacentral:rRNA from 1 species
CCUACGGGAGGCAGCAGUGGGGAAUAUUGGACAAUGGGGGGAACCCUGAUCCAGCGACGCCGCGUGAGUGAAGAAGUAUUUCGGUAUGUAAAGCUCUAUCAGCAGGGAAGAAAGAAAUGACGGUACCUGACUAAGAAGCCCCGGCUAACUACGUGCCAGCAGCCGCGGUAAUACGUAGGGGGCAAGCGUUAUCCGGAUUUACUGGGUGUAAAGGGAGCGUAGACGGCGAUGCAAGUCUGAAGUGAAAGGCGGGGGCCCAACCCCCGGACUGCUUUGGAAACUGUAUGGCUGGAGUGCAGGAGAGGUAAGUGGAAUUCCUAGUGUAGCGGUGAAAUGCGUAGAGAUUAGGAGGAACACCAGUGGCGAAGGCGGCUUACUGGACUGUAACUGACGUUGAGGCUCGAAAGCGUGGGGAGCAAACAGGAUUAGAUACCCGGGUAGUC